rnacentral:rRNA from 1 species
ACGGGGUGCAGCAGGCGCGAAAACUUGUCAAUGCGGGAAACCGCGAACAGGGGAGUCCAAGUGCUUGCACUUUGUGUAAGCUGUUCGGUUGUCUAAAAAACAGCCGAAGGAAGGGCUGGGUAAGACAGGUGCCAGCCGCCGCGGUAAUACCUGCAGCCCGAGUGGUGAUCGAUUUUAUUGAGCCUAAAGCGUCCGUAGCCGGACUAGUAAACCCUUGGGUAAAUUGGGCAGCUUAACUGUCCAAAUUCCGAGGGGACUGCUAGUCUUGGGACCGGGAGAGGUCAGAGGUACUCCAGGGGUAGGGGCUAAAUCCUGUAAUCCUUGGGGGACCACCAGUGGCGAAGGCGUCUGACUAGAACGGAUCCGACGGUAAGGGACGAAACCCUGGGGCGCGAACCGGAUUAGAUACCCGGGUAGUCCAGGGCGUAAACGCUGCAGGCUUGGUGUUGGGGAUCCUACGAGGAUGCCCAGUGCCGGAGUGAAGAUGUUAAGCCUGCCGCUUGGGAGUACGUCCGCAAGG